rnacentral:lncRNA from 1 species
UCCUCCCAGCUAGAACAUGGACCCCCAACUCUGAGGGCCCCUGCAACAGGGCCUCUGAAAUUUAAACUUCAUCAACACAUCAUGUCAAUCCUUCUCUGUCUCUUUGAAUACACUGCCGAAUCAGUGAGAAUAUAACUGGUUAGAUGACAUCUAGAAAGCUGGAGAAGACAUUUAGUUAGAAUUAGCUGUGAAAUUACUCAUGGUAUAUUUCUAAAAGUAAAUAAAUAUCAUUGACUUGAAUAUGACAAUUUUGAUUAUGAAAACUAGAAUUUUAUAGCACUUUGAAGUUUACAACAUACAUCCACAUAUAUAAUUUCAUCUUCACAAUAAGCCUACAUAGUAUACAGAAUACCUUACAUUAUUCAUAUUUACAGAUGAUGAAACUAGUACUCAGAUUUUAAAAUAAAUACUCUGGAGAGUAGCCAUGCUGGGGACAAAAUAGCAGAUUGGAAAGGGGACACGUUUGGGAUUUGAUGACUUGUGUUGAAAGCACAGCCGAUCUAACUAAUUAUCCAGGUGGUUUCAACAAGCUACUUGUCUUCUCGGAGUUUCUUUUCUCAUCUCUCAGUUGGAGGUAAUAAUAACCUUCCUUGUAUUCGUGAUAAGAAGAUUAGAGGUAAUGUAAUUAUAGACUUGCCACAUAAUGGUCAUUUAAUAAAUGCUAGUUGACUUUAUCAUUAGUAACAUUCUGACUAUUAUUAUUAACUAAAAUCUUUCGAUUUUACAUAAAGGGCUUUUUUUAUUAAAAAAUAAAAGGUAAAGAUAAAAUACAUUCCCAUUUUCUUUCUUGGAACAUAACCUAAAGCCAUAUAAGAUUAGCCGGGUGUGGUGGCAUGCGCCUGUAAUCCCAGCUACUCAGGAGGCUGAGUCAGGAGAAUCCCUUGAACCCAGGAAGCAGAGGUUGCAGUGAGCCAAGAUCACACCACUGCACUCCAGCCAGGGCAACAAAGCAAGACUCCAUCUAAUUAAAAAAAAAAAAAAAAAAAAGAGGCUGGGAAGGGUGUGUUUCUUGUUCUGGAUGUUGGUAGCACCAUUCUGUUGUUUGUUGUAAGUCAGAUAACUUAUGUGAAAUAUUCUGCUUGUAUAUUCCAUAUCAAUAAAAAUUGUUAGCAUUAAUUGCUAAAUGUUUGUAUUUAAAGAAGACGAAGUAUAAAACCCUUGACAAAAACAGUAAGGGGUAUCUAUGUGUGUUUGUGUUCAUGAGUUCAACUAGUGAUCACAAUAGGCUAAAUUCUAUGUCAUAUCAGGUAGAGGAUAAAAAUAUUUAAUCAAAUUAGAUCUUAAAAGGCUAUUUUAUAGAAAUAUAUAGAAAAGUAUUCUUAAAAAUAUGUUUACUAAGCAUUGCAAAUGUAAACUCUAAAUAAAUAAAUUAAAUACAUCAACAGGUGGAAAGGAAGAAAAUAAGAAAAGGUUAAGAGAUAAAGUAAGGAAAAAAUGAACACAAAGUUUUUCAAAAAUGUAAGCAGAACAAAAUAAGAUGUUAGAAAUAAGUCAAAUAUAUAAAUACCAAAAAUGUAAAUAGAUUAACUUACCCAUGAUUUAAAAAAAUAUAACCUUUCAGCUGUGUAGUGUGUACAAAGCACACAAAAUUAAGUAACAGGAUUUUUAAUAAAAUUAUGUACAUACAAGGGUAUAUGUAUGUGUACAUAAGUGUGUGUCUGUGCACUAUUGUGCAGAAAUUCUGUAGCAUUGAAUAACAGCUUUCCUAUCAUGAUAAGCUGAACAGUUAAAUUCAUUAUUUCUCAGUCUUCCUUACAGCUAAGAUUCCACAUGGUUUUGCUAAAUCAGGAUAUUUAUACAGAGUUUUAUAAAAAUCCUUAUAGGAUGCUAAAUGUUAUGAAUCAUUACAAGAAUAGUGCCAAGAAGGAAAAUCCUGAAGAAGUCACCAGUUGGAGGGGCAGUAUCCUGAUUUCAUCAUUUCUAACUGUUGAAAGACAGCUUACAUCUAGAAGAAUUAUUUUAGGAGUGAUUUCUGAAACAUCAUUCUAAUGUUUGUGUCUUGUCUUCUAAUGUCUUCUAUUAAUAUCUACAACCCUUAAUAAAUACUUAUUUGCUUGAAAUAACUACAGUGUAUUCUGUCAUAUGCUUCUAAUCUUCAAAUAAUAGACUAGCAUAUCACAACAAAAAAAGCUAGGAAAAAGAACUGAAUAGAUAUCGUCUAUUAUGGGCUGAAUUGAGUUCCACUAAAAUUUGAUUCCUAACUCCUCAAAAUAUGACUCUAUUUGAAGAAAUGGUCUUUAAAUAAGUAACUAAACUGAAAUGAAGUUAUUAGAGUGGACCCUAAUCCAAUAUAAAUGGUGUUCUUCUAUGAAGAGGAAAUUAAGACAUAGUCAUGUACAGCACAAAGACCGUGGGGUGGAAACACAGGAUGAAGAUAGCUAUCUACAAGCCAAAGAGAGAGAGGCCUCGAAAGAAAAUGAAUUUUGUUGAGACCUUGCUCUUCUAGCCUAUAAAACUGUGAGAAAAUAUGUUGCUGUUAUUGAAGCCACCCAAUCUUAGGUACUUUAUUACAGCAGUCCUAGCAAACUAGUACACUUCAUACUUUACAGACAACAUAAUUAUCUCCAUUUACAAUCCAAGAGACUCUACAUGCUAUAUGAACUGAAGAGAGUUCAAGAAAAUUGCAGCAUAAGCAACAAAUAAAGUAAUCCCUCCAUAUGAGGAAAAAUAAUUAGAAAUGGAAUUAAUUUUAUCUAAUAAAAAACUUAAAUCUGAAAACCAAAACUUUCAAACACUUGGAAAAAUAAGAAAGGGAUUUAUUAAGCAAAAUUCCUAUAUUACAAUUAAAAAUAAAAGGUGAACUUAAAAGUCAAUGUAAAUUAAAAUUAUUAAUAAGAAAGCAACUCUGCUGAUGAUACCCAGGCAAACAGGAUCCAGAGUGGACCUCCAGCAAAAUCCAACAGACCUGCAGCUGAGGAUCAUGAAAAUGGACAAAAUGUCCAAGGUAAUUUAUAGAUUCAGUGCCAUCCCCAUCAAGUUACCAAUGACUUUCUUCACAGAAUUGGAAAAACUACUUUACAGUUCAUUUGGAACCAAAAAACAGGCUGCAUUGCCAAGACAAUUCUAAGCAAAAAGAACAAAGCUGGAGGCAUCAUGCUACCUGACUUCAAACUAUACUACAAGGCUAUAGUAACCAAAACAGCAUGGUACUGGUACCAAAACAGAUAUAUAGACCAAUGGAACAGAACAGAGGCCUCAGAAAUAACACCACACAUCUACAACC